rnacentral:rRNA from 1 species
AUACAGAGAGUGCAAGCGUUAAUCGGAAUAACUGGGCGUAAAGCGCACGUAGGUGGACAUUUAAGUCGGAUGUGAAAGCCCUAGGCUUAACCUAGGAACUGCAUCCGAAACUGGGCGUCUUGAGUAUAGUAGAGGGAAGUGGAAUUUCCGGUGUAGCGGUGAAAUGCGUAGAUAUCGGAAAGAACACCAGUGGCGAAGGCGGCUUCCUGGACUAAUACUGACACUGAGGUGCGAAAGCGUGGGGAGCAAACAGGAUUAGAAACCCUAGUAGUCC